rnacentral:sRNA from 1 species
ACUGCCUUGAUUUUAAACCAUCGUGGAAAUAAAUAUACUUUCUAGAAAAGAAUUUACAUUUCUUAGCUGGAAAAACAUAACCCAACUUGGAAUUCCUGAGUAUGCGUCUCUUGUCCCCACCCCUUGAUCUGGGGGUUCUCUAGACUAGCUCUAUGGUUUAGCUGCAUGAAGAGUUAACUUGUGGCACCACCAAGUGGUUCAGUCAGGCAGUGCAACUUAAUUCUCCUACAAGAUCAAAGCAGUCCAAUUUAUACCAUGUUACAUACGAAGGGAGGGAAGAAGAUGGCAAAAAGGAUGGACGAAAGGAACAAAAAAUAAUAAUGCAGUUGAGAGGUAUAAUGAUUAGACCAUCUCUACCUCUAGAAGCUCAAAAUCUUACAAUACCUUUACCAGGCUUGUGAUCUAUAUUUGGGUUUUUUUUUUUAAUCUUCACUGUUUUGUGACCUUUAAACCUAAUGCAUAGAAAUGAGAACUGGUUUGCUUAUGUUCCUUCAUUAUGUGAGAUCAGAGUAUUUACAUAUACUCUUUCUUUCCUUACUGCUCAACUUUGCUCUGGGAAAUAACCUUUUCUUUACUGACCCAUUGUGAGAGCCUCACUGAACUCUGCAUUUCCUACUCAGUCUGAGUCGGAGAUCUCACCCUAGUGUGUGCUCUCAUAGACUAUAUCCUUGUGGCAAAAUGGUCCUUAAAAGAUGUGACAAAAAAAUUUUUUUUCUAAGUGAGGAAUAAAUAUAUAGUGAUAAUCCCAGUAAACAAAUUCUCAGAAAUCAAAAGUUACCUAAUCAAAGUUGGCUCAAAUAUUGAAGUACUUCAUACUUAGUAUGAGUUUGUGGCUGCAGCAACAAGGAAAGAGGAAGAUAGAGAGUGACAGCACUCCAUCUGGGGUUCUUGGUUCUAAUGAAGAGGCUGAGGUUUCAUCUAACCUGUCAAGGAGAGUGGGUUGCAUUUCUUGACUUAGACUUUGGAGUGGGAAAAAUGCAAAGCACACACGUACAUAAAAACCCAGAGACGGCCGGGCGCAGUGGCUCACGCCUGUAAUCCCAGCACUUUGGAGGCCGAGGUGGGUGCAUCACAAGGUCAGGAGAUGAGACCAUCCUGGCUAACAUGGUGAAACCCCGUCUCUACUAAAAAUACAAAAAAUUAGCCAGGCGUGGUGGCGGGCGCCUGUAGUCCCAGCUACUGGGGAGGCUGAGGCAGGAGAAUGGUGUGAACCCAGGAGGCGGAACUUGUGGUGAGCAGAGAUCGCGCCACUGCACUCCAGCUUGGGGACUCUCGCUGAGACUCUGUCUCAAAAAAAAAAAAAAAAAAAACCCAGAGACAUGGGACCACUCCUUCUAGGUCUCAGCAGGAAGGAAAUCCAUAGAAUGGAACAGAUCUCAAUUUGAUUGAAAUUUUAAGAUUUUGACCACCAUGUGUUAGAACCAUUCCUUUUCUUUAAUGGAAGUGUCAUUGGGCCAAGCGUGGUAGCUCACACCUGUCAUCCUGACACUUGGGGAGACUGAAGUGGGGGGAUCACAUGAGCCCAGAAGUUUGAGACCAGCCUGGGCAGCAUGUUGAAACCUUGUCUCUACAAAAAAAAUUUUAAAUUAGCUGGGCAUGGUGAUGCACGCCUGUGGUUCCAACUACUCAGAAGGCUGAGACAGAAGGAUCACUUGAGCCCAAGAGCUCAAGGCUGCAGUGAGCUAUGAUCGUGCCACCGCACUCCAGCCUAAGCAACAAGCAAAACCCUGCCUCAAAAAAAAAAGAAGAAAAAGAAAAAAAGAAGUAUCAUUGCAGUGAUACUUCACACAUGUGAGAUAAACAAUACAUUCACUCUUUGUUGAACUACCAUGCCCAGUUUAUUUCAAACUACAGAAGGACCUCUUGUAUCAUGACUCAGGACUUGUUACAAUAGGGUUUCCUUAUACUCUGUGUUGAAUCACAUCCAAAAUGCAGCAAGCUUAAGCAAUAAAGAACCUAACAUUAUUGAAGCUCUAAAGGUCAUGUCCAGAUUUGUCACCCUACACCCAUCCAGUCAGGUGUCUUUUAGUUACCCAAACAGUUUCCAUAUUGUUAGACUGUGUUCCCUCUAAAAAAGAAAAAAAGGGAGGUGGUUCUAUCUUAUCAAUAAAAUUGUUUAUAAAACUCAGAAGUAGAAUGGUGAGAAACUAGGGAAGAAAAGUAGUAACGCAAGUCUGAGAAAUAAGAUGUCUAUUUUAGAAGGAUCAAAGCUGAUAGAACAAGCUUAAUUAGCCAUAAAUUAUGGAGAAAGUUGGCAUUAUCCCAUUAGAAGAAUAAAGUAUCAAAGAUCUCCUACUUGGUGGUUCUGUCUCAAUGUUGAGUUUACUAAGUGUGAAAAGUAUCCUAUCCUGAAUCUGUGCUCUCUGGAUUAUUUAAUGCUUUCCUUUUUAAAGGUUCAAAAAGGUAGAUUUCUGCUUAUUUUUAAUACUUUCUCUGGUCUCAAACUCUGUUUUAUUGAGAGAUUGAUUUGUUACAAUUUGUUUUAUGGUAUCAUGUGUUCUAUCAAGUUGGCUUUAGAUAGCCACUUCUCUUUUCUUCUCUCUCUGUAAAGAUACAGAUGUUUCUACCACUAAGAGCAGUCAAGCACCACUGUACAUUCUGAGUUUGUGGCCUUACUAAUCAAUGGCAUGUUUUCUGGGGUGGGUGUUACCUUUCUAGAGUGUUCUGCCAUACUUCGUAGCUACAAAACUGGCUAAAAUCCGGAAGCCAACUUUGGAUAAGCCCUCUCCGGAGACGUUUGUGAAGUCUGCAAUUAAAACAGUCGGCCUGCAAUCCCGAACCAAUGGAUACCUGAUCCAUGCUCUUAUGGGCUCGAUAAUCUCAAACCUGCCUUCUUGGAUUUAUUUGAAAAUAGUCAUGAAUAUGAACAAGUCUACACGGGCUCACUAUCUGAAGAAAACCAAGAAGAACUAAGCAUUGAUAACUGCAUUGUAACUUGGCCAGAUGCUCCAGCAUAUGCACGUUCACUGCAAAGCACCCUACUGGUUUUGAAAAUCUGACCUUGUGAUUUCAAUAGUUAUUAACAUGACUAAAUAUUAUCUUAAUUAAGAGGAAAAUAGAAGUUGCUUUUAGGGGUUUCUGACAUAUAUUCUGGAUACUAUCCGAGGUAAUUUUGAAGUUUAAUAUAAAUGCUCAUAUCAAAUGAAUAUAGAACUAAUAUUGUCGGGAACAGCUAAUAGAAAGGAAUACUAUUAUAGCAAAUCACAGAAUGAUAGACUUAAGCAUAAAACUUGGCAGUUUUAUCUGCUUCAAAAUGCCAUUGAUCAUUAUUCCUGUAUUUUCUCUGAAACUGAUUAUAAAAACCAAUGUCCAGCUACUCUUUUGUUUUUGACACUUGAAGAAAUGGAGAUCGAUUUGAUUUGUUUAUAAGCAGACACACUGCAAUUUACAAAGAUCUCUUUACGGUUUUAUAAAAUUAUCUUCCAGUUUGUACAUUUAUAUGGAAUUGUUCUUUAUCAAGGGUAGCUAAUGACAUGAAAAUAAUUGUGAAAUAUGGAAUUAUUUCUGACACAUGAAGCCCACUAAACUAUGCUUUCUUAUAAUGCAUAUUUCUUCUCAGUUUAAAUGUAUGUAAAUAUCGAAGCUAUAUGGUAUGAUUUAUAAAGAUAAAUGGGCCAAAGUGUACAUUGAGACUGGUAGCCAUCUAUGGUACCACUGAAACCCUGACCCAGAAAAGUGGCUUGCUUGGACACCCAGCUGCCUUUGUUUCUGCAUUAAACCAAUAUUGAUCACACAUAUGACACAGGCUAGUCCUAUAAAAGUAAUGACUUCAUAGAAAUGGCAUUAUAAUUUUUAAGUUGAUACUCUACAGGUAGCUAUUGAUAUAAUUAGUUUUAAUAAAACAUGCUGCAACCAUGGUAUACAACAAAAAUACAUUUCUUUGGUGAUUGAAAUUAAGGCCGUAUUUACAAUGACUUAAUAUAAGACUGACUUUUAUCCUGCUUCAUAACUUGUAUGGAGAACUCACCAAGAAAGAAUUCAAUACUGUGAAAUAUGCAGCAAGAAGAUUGGUCUUUACCUAGGCUGUGUUUCCUAAGCUCUGAGUUUUAAGCACCAGUAGAUUUGUAUUAAAAGAAAAAAAAAUGGGGCCUUAGCUUCUGGCUUUUAAUUUUGCCAGCUAAGGACAUAAAACAAAAAUAAACAAACAAAAACAAAUAGCCAUCUGCUAUCAGCAUCAUUAUGUAAAAGAAAAUAUAUUUUAGCCCCUAAAAUUAGGAAGAAUGUAAUCUCAGAAUAAAGGUUGUCAUUUAAGUUGAAUAAAUAUAUAGCUUUAUGAAAAACA